UUCGGCGGCAAUGGCGAAGGGGAAACACCCGUUCCCAUCCCGAACACGGAAGUAAAGUCCUUCAGCGCCGAUGGUACUGCACGGGAAGCUGUGUGGGAGAGUAGGUCGCCGCCGAAA
rnacentral:rRNA from 1 species